AUUGAACGCUGGCGGCAGGCCUAACACAUGCAAGUCGGACGGUAGCACAGAGAGCUUGCUCUUGGGUGACGAGAGGCGGACGGGUGAGUAAUGUCUGGGGAUCUGCCCGAUAGAGGGGGAUAACCACUGGAAACGGUGGCUAAUACCGCAUAACGUCGCAAGACCAAAGAGGGGGACCUUCGGGCCUCUCACUAUCGGAUGAACCCAGAUGGGAUUAGCUAGUCGGCGGGGUAAUGGCCCACCUAGGGGACGAUCCCUAGCUGGUCUGAGAGGAUGACCAGCCACACUGGAACUGAGACACGGUCCAGACUCCGACGGGAGGCAGCGGUGGGGAAUAUUGCACAGUGGGCGCAAGCCUGAUGCAGCCAUGCCGCGUGUAUGAAGAAGGCCUUCGGGUUGUAAAGUACUUUCAGCGGGGAGGAAGGCGACGCGGUUAAUAACCGCGUCGAUUGACGUUACCCGCAGAAGAAGCACCGGCUAACGCCGUGCCAGCCGCCGCGGUAA
rnacentral:rRNA from 1 species